GCUGGCCUCGGUGCGUUAGGCUACGACUUGUAAUCAGUAGGUCCCGGGUUCGACUCCUGGUGCCGGCACCA
rnacentral:tRNA from 1 species